UGGGGAAUAUUGCACAAUGGGCGCAAGCCUGAUGCAGCGACGCCGCGUGAGGGAUGACGGCCUUCGGGUUGUAAACCUCUUUCAGCAGGGAAGAAGCGUGAGUGACGGUACCUGCAGAAGAAGCACCGGCUAACUACGUGCCAGCAGCCGCGGUAAUACGUAGGGUGCGAGCGUUGUCCGGAAUUAUUGGGCGUAAAGAGCUUGUAGGCGGUUUGUCGCGUCUGCUGUGAAAAUCCGGGGCUCAACCCCGGACUUGCAGUGGGUACGGGCAGAGUAGAGUGUGGUAGGGGGGACUGGAAUUCCUGGUGUAGCGGUGGAAUGUGCAGAUAUCAGGAGGAACACCGAUGGCGAAGGCAGGUCUCUGGGCCACUACUGACGCUGAGAAGCGAAAGCAUGGGGAGCGAACAGG
rnacentral:rRNA from 1 species